UCUUCAUUUCACAAACUCACUCACCGGUCAGAGAGGAGCGAGAGAGUGUGCGAAAUGAAGAAA
rnacentral:pre_miRNA from 1 species